rnacentral:SRP_RNA from 1 species
GGCCCGGACCCUGUGCGACUUCAGCCUGCGAACCGCGUCAGGGCCGGAAGGCAGCAGCGCUAAGUAGACCCUGAUGUGUGCUUAGGUGCACCGGGUCGCG